rnacentral:rRNA from 1 species
GCAACUCGACUGCACGAAGCUGGAAUCGCUAGUAAUCGCGGAUCAGCACGCCGCGGUGAAUACGUUCCCGGGCCCUGUACACACCGCCCGUCACACCAUGGAAGUCUGCAAUGCCCGAAGCCGGUGGCCUAACCACUUAUGUGGAAGGAGCCGUCUAAGGCAGGGCAGAUGACUGGGGUGAAGUCGUAACAAGGUAAC